UACAGAGGUCUCAAGCGUUGUUCGGAAUCACUGGGCUUAAAGGGCGCGUAGGCGGCGAGGUAAGUCGGGUGUGAAAUCUCAGAGCUCAACUCUGAAACUGCACUCGAUACUGCUUUGCUAGAGGACUGGAGAGGAGAUUGGAAUUCACGGUGUAGCAGUGAAAUGCGUAGAGAUCGUGAGGAAGACCAGUGGCGAAGGCGGAUCUCUGGACAGUUCCUGACGCUGAGGCGCGAAGGCCAGGGGAGCAAACGGG
rnacentral:rRNA from 1 species